GAAAAUUUAGUUAAAAUAUAACAUUAGUUUGUCAUUCUAAAAUUAUUAAAUUAUUAAUAAUUUUCA
rnacentral:tRNA from 1 species